GCCGCGGUAGCUCAGCCUGAAACAUUCGGUGGCUAGGGAGAGCAUCCGGCUGAAGACCGGAGUGUCGUCGGCUCAAAUCCGACCCGCGGCA
rnacentral:tRNA from 1 species